AGACGUUGUGUUACUUGGACGGCCUAGUUAUCCAGCUAAGCUAAAACAAUCUCUACAUUUAGCUGUUUCUACCUGCAGUUUUACAGAGAAUCUUAAAUCAGUUCAAUUAAAAACAGCAUUUGGAGAGGAUUAACUCACUGAUCCUGAGGAAUAAUAAAAAGAAAAAAAAAGACAUUCUUUGUACUAUGACGAAUCAAGAAGAAACUCAGACAGACCUUCACCACUGCUUAGAGUGUGGAAAGAGUUUUAGUCAAAAGAAGGGUCUCACAGCACACCAGCGCAUCCACAGACAAGAAAAACCACAUCAGUGCUCAAAAUGUGGAAAGAGUUUUACUUGUAAAUACCGUCUCCAGAGACAUCAGCACGUUCACACAGGAAAGAAGCCGUAUCAGUGCCCAGAGUGUGGAAAGAGUUUUAGUCAAGAGAGGUACUUCUCAGCACACCAGCUCAUCCACAGCCAAGGCAAGCCACAUCAGUGCUCACAGUGUGGAAAGAGGUUCCUUAAUAAAUAUCAUCUCAAACAACAUCAGCACACUCAUACAGGAGAGAAGCCGCAUCAGUGCUCCCAGUGUGGAAAGAGUUUUAGUCAAGAGAGGUACCUCACAGCCCACCAGCUCAUCCACAGCCAAGGCAAGUCACAUCAGUGCUCACAGUGUGGAAAGAGUUUUGUUAACAAGAGAGGUUUAAAAUUGCACGAAUACAUGCAUACAGGAGAGAAGCUGCAUCAGUGCUCACAGUGUGAAAAGAGUUUCAUUAAUAAACAUCGUCUCCGACAACACCAGCGCUCUCAUACAGGAGUGAAGCCGCACCAAUGCUCACAAUGUGGAAAAAGUUUUGCUAUCAUAAGAGAUUUGAAAAUACACGAGUACAUCCAUACAGGAGAGAAGCCACAUCAGUGCUCACAGUGUGGGAAGAGUUUUAAUCAAAAGUAUUAUCUCAAGAAACAUCAGCGCAUUCACUCAGGAGACAAACCGUUUCACUGUUCACAGUGUGGGAAGAGUUUUAAUCAAAAGGAUUCUUUUAAGCAACACCAGCGCAUUCACACAGGGGACAAACUGCUUCACUGUUCACAGUGUGGAAAGGGUUUUAAUCAAAAGGAUUCUUUCAAGAAACAUCAGCGCGUUCACACAGGAGACAAACCGUUUCACUGUUCACAGUGUGGGAAGAGUUUUAGUCGAAAGGAUUCUCUCAAGCAACAUCAGCGCAUUCACACUGGAGACAAACCGUUUCACUGUUCACAGUGUGGGAAGAGUUUUACUCAAAGCAGCACUCUUGUGCAACAUCAACGUAUUCACACUGGGGAGAAGCCGUAUUACUGCUCCAUGUGUGGAAAUAAUUUUUCUCGAAUCAGCUCUUUUAAUAAGCAUUUAUGCAUGCACUGAAGGAGAGUAAAAAAGUAUUCCCAAGUUCCCAGUUUCUGCACCAAGAGCAUAUAGAGGUGGAUGAUGCAGUAAUUAAUCUGUUGCAUGAAGCUUACUCAAUCCUGGACCAUGAACAACCUUAAUGAUCGCAACCAAUCUGGACUCAAAGUGGCACAUUCCACAGAGACUGCCCUUCUGUCAGUCACUGAAAAUCUCCAUGCUGCUAGAUCUGCUAAACUGUUAUCUGUCCUCAUCCUCCUGGACCUGUCUGCUGCAUUUGACACAGUUGACCACAUGAUUCUAUCAUCUAUUCUUACAAGCCUUGGAAUUUGUGGAACCACGUUUGCUUCUUACCUAGAAGAUAGGAUGUAUGAGGUAAUAUGGAGGGCAUCCACAUCUGCCCCACGCAAACUCUCUGCUGUUCUCACACUAUGCCCGGUCUCUUGGUAAGGUCAUUUCAUCACAUGGAUUUUUCAUACCAUUGUUAUGCAGAUGACACCCAAAUUAUUCUCUCCUUUCCUCCCUCUGACACUCAGGUUUCCACCCCGAUCCCAGCAUGUCUGGCAGACAUCUCAUCCUGGAUGGCAGCUCAUUAGCUGAAUUUCAAUCUGAAUAAAACUGAACUGGUGACUCAUCUUGAGGUCAGGACCUCGUGAUAUCCCUGGACAAGAAUGAAAUCACUCCUUCAGCUACUUUUUUCAGAAUGUUGGGAGAUUCUCACACUAAUUUGCAGUGAUAUCAUGGCAGAUAAUGUUUUGGGGCUUAGUAACAGUGUUUACUGUGUUCUUUGUUUACUGUGGUGGUUUACUGGUGUGUUUUCAAUCAAAUCAGAAAAAUAUUCCGUUCCCUCUGUUUCAACAGUUUUUUACAGAUCUACAGGGAUAAAGUGGUAAAAACAAUAACACACCAUGCACACUGAUUACUAAAAUGAUUGUGCGGAUUAAUAAAACUAUUGGAUUAACAAACCGAGAUGCAUUUUUCUUAGACCCACCCUUGUGAAAAUGGCAUAUUCAGAAAAUGGCUUGUCAGUGAGAGGUUGGUCAUGGACCAUUGACGUUCUACGCAUUCUAAAAAUGAUAUUUUUACCGUUUUUAAUCCCUGCAAUGAAUAUGAUAUAGAUCUGGAGAAUUUCUUUAUUAUUAAAUCUGUCUCUUACAUUCCAGGCAUUAAAAACUGUAUCAAUGUCAAGUUCAUAAUCUGUAGAACCUCUGUGGUCUGUGCAUAACCUCUCGCGGACAAGCCUCUCUCUGUUUUAUUGAGCUGGGGAUAAGAAUACCAUCUUGAUGGGAGACCAACUUCGACACAACACCGGCAAACCAAUCAGUGUGCUCUGUUUAUUAAUACACUCACACGGUUUAGUAAUUCGAAAAUUGUAUAAAUGCAAACCAUGAGAUAAAAUUAAAUCCAGGGUGGGACCAUGUUCAUGUGUUGGACUACACACCCACUGAAGAAGAUUAAAAGACUCAAUGAA